CUUAUAAGGUUUGUUUUAUUUCUCUGCACUACUUGCACGAGUUCAAGAAGUGUACACUGAAACGUUUUUUUUGACGGAAAUGACGUCAUGUUUGCUGUUUUUUUAGCAGUGCAGUGGUGCUUAGGUCAGUCAGUUCACUGUACUGGCUGCCAGAGAUGCCAGAUUCUGAACACUUGGUAGCAUGCGGUAGCAUGUGCGAUCGCGCUCGAGACUUCGGGCGCGAUCGCACACGUACACGAUCUGAGGUUGUGUGCGCAUCCCCUCCAUGCUACCGCAUGCUACCAAGGCUGUGUUCCAAAUUUACUGCCAGCACGCUGCCAGUGCUAAAAUUGUAUAAUAUAUGUGACUUAAACUAUAGAUCUCUAGCGCUGGCAGUGAAUUUUGAAACACAGCCCAAGUGUUCAGAAUCUGGCAUCUCUGCUGGCUGCCCCAGGUCUUGAGGUAGUGCAACGGUGCGGUUCAAUAUGGCGGAAAAUAAUUGUGCAAGGGAAAUCGAUAAUGACAUCGCUUUUAUAAAACGAGACAAAGAAGGCAAUAUUUUGGUUAAAGAUGGAUUUGUUACGUGUAUUUCUGAAGUGUCUUGAUUAAAUUAAAUGAAAAGAGAAAUGAAAGUAAU